UACAAAUUGGCCCCUCCACUGGUUCUAGAAUUUCGCAAAAUAGCCCCUUUAUUUGCAUAUAACCCCCUCGUUAAUGGCGAUCCGAGUAUGUACGCGGUCCGAUUCGGGGGUGUACGUGUAAUCUUCGCGAUCCAUGUUUUUGCAUUUAGGUCCCUCGUCUGGGUUGCGGUGUUUGGCGGCGGGUUGAAGCGGAGGUGGCCCGGCGCGUGGCGGCGGCGGGCGCAGGGACGCGCGCGUGAAGCCAACCGGCGCCGGGGAUGCCGGCUUCCUCGUGGGCUCCGGAGCAGCCGCGAGGCACGGCAACGCCAGCCACCAAUCUUACUCUGCGUCCCCGCCGGCCUCCUCCCGUGCGUACCCCGCCGGCCUCCGCCGCGCCCCUUCCGGCCAGUCGCGGGCUGCUCCGGUUGCGUCUCUUCCAAGGGGACGGAGUAGGGUGAGGGAGACGGCUGGGCUAAGUUCCGCUGUCCGCCACACCGCCGCCGCUGUAACUGCUCGCCGACCUACAUCUCCGGCUCCUCCUCUCUCCCGCUUCGACUUCGCCUCGUGAGGCGGCUCCAGACACUUUCACCUUGGUAGCUCCAGAAGCCUGCUGGCUGACUCUAAGAUGGACUUGUUGGAGGCUUUUAAGGUAUUCCAAACCAUACGCACCUUCAGAUAGCCUGAAUUGAAGCUCCAGUCUUUGAAGCUCUGGCAUUGCCCCUUCUAGGAAGCUCAGCAAAGGCAUCACUGGUGCUGAAAAUCGUAGCAGUUUAAGACUGGCAAAUCCAUCAGCCGGAACAAAGAUCUUGCCUCCUGAAUCCAUGGCAUUAUUCUGUAGAAUCUCCAGAACACUACUAUCCUGUCCUUUUGCAUUGAUUGAGAAUGUGAGAGAAAACAACUUUGAGAGCUGGGAAAGAACCUUCAAACCAUCUGUCCGCAGUGAAGUCAACGAUAAAGUUAACUUCUCAAGAAUCUCCAGCUCCUUCAUCCAUCUUGGCACACGAAGCAAUUUGCCAGAAAGAUCAAGAGAGAGUAUGUAUUUUGGUGGACUGGACAAAUCAUCUAUUGAAUUAAGAAAACCUGUGAAGCCAUCAUCAAUUGCAAGAGACUUGAGGGAGUAUCCAGUUAGGUGCUCAAUGGUAGGUAGUAACUCGUCAUAUUUGUUGUUAUUGGUAUGAAGAUCUCCAAGACUGUAGAUGCUUAACUUCUUCAACUUGGUGAGAUUGUGCAUGCUUCCGAGGUCUGUAGUUGAGCCCCUACUAAUCUCAAUCCCUAAGAGUGUUUGUAACGCAGUCAUCUUUGCAAUUUCUUCUGUGAAUCUCAAGGCAAGAUGUGUUGAUUUAUUGCCGCCAAGUAGAUGGACCAUUUUUUGGAGCCGCCCAACAGAUGAAGGCAAUUCUGUCACAUUUGUAUCCCUAAUAUCCAGUGUCUCCAAAUAUUGGAGUUUUCCAAUUCCUGGUGGGAGUUUCUUGAUGUAUGUACAGCGUAGACUCAGGGAAAGCCGGCGGACUUUGUUGCUUGGUGUUGGUGUGAGCCAGUGACCUCCAACCACAGUGAUAAAAUUCUCUUCACUUGACUUGGACACAAUAUAUUCAAGGAUCAUAUCAUGAACUUGGCAAGUCUUCACCUUGCCAUUGGUGUUGUGUUCCACUGGCCGGACUAUAUUUCUACUGAUGAGCUCAUUGAAACUGUCUUCAGCAACUUCCUCAACUGUUUUCCCAUCCUUCUCAGCAAUGAAACCUUCAGAUAUCCAUCGCCUAAUUAAUCGCUUCCUGUUGAUGCUGCAACCUUUCGGGAAUAUGCUCAAGUACAACAAACAAUUCUUCUGAUCAGCUGGUAAAUCAUUGUAGCAGAGAUUAAGAAUUUGUGUCACGCCCUCAGGACUAAGAUUCUUAUCCAGCUCUGAAUUUAGAGACUCUUUCACUGUUCUCCAAUGGCUCUCUUCUGUCAGAUCUCUUCUGGCUAAGAGCCCUGCCACCACAACUAAUGCCAAAGGUAGACCUCCACAUUUCAUUAUAAUUUCAUCCUUGGUUUCUUUGAAGUUUUCUUGCUUUGGAUCAUGAAUUCUUUCAAAGAACAAUUUUGUAGAUUCCACAUGAGGUAGUGGUUUGAGCAUGUAGAUAUGUUCUUGUUGACGGCAGCAGGCAUUUGCUACAGACUUGAACCUUGUAGUCACCACUAUGCUUCCCUUUUGACUUAUGGGUAAAGAUUGCCAGAUAUUUUGCCAUGA